rnacentral:misc_RNA from 1 species
CUUUCGCGACAUGGGGAAGAGCUUCCAUUUCGCCAGCGCCACCUGAGGAUUUCCUGGAGCCGCCACCCCCACCUCCCGCGAUGGAAGACGAUCAGGAGCUGGAGAGAAAAAUAUCAGGAUUGAAGACCUCAAUGGCUGAAGGCGAGAGGAAGACAGCCCUGGAAAUGGUCCAGGCAGCUGGAACAGAUAGACAGUGUGUGA